UACGAAGGGGGCUAGCGUUGCUCGGAAUCACUGGGCGUAAAGCGCACGUAGGCGGACUCUUAAGUCGGUGGUGAAAUCCUGGAGCUCAACUCCAGAACUGCCUUCGAUACUGGGAGUCUUGAGUCCGGGAGAGGUGAGUGGAACUGCGGAGUGUAGAGGUGAAAUUCGUAGAUAUUCGCAAGAACACCAGUGGCGAAGGCGGCUCACUGGCCCGGUACUGACGCUGAGGAGCGAAAGCGUGGGGAGCGAACAGG
rnacentral:rRNA from 1 species